rnacentral:piRNA from 1 species
AAGAAAAUGAAUACUGAAGGCCUGGGU